rnacentral:rRNA from 1 species
UACGAAGGGGGCUAGCGUUGCUCGGAUUGACUGGGCGUAAAGGGCGCGUAGGCGGAUAGUACAGUCAGGCGUGAAAUUCCUGGGCUCAACCUGGGGGCUGCGUUUGAUACGUAUUGUCUGGAGUUCGGAAGAGGGUCGUGGAAUUCCCAGUGUAGAGGUGAAAUUCGUAGAUAUUGGGAAGAACACCAGUGGCGAAGGCGGCUCACUGGCUCGUAACUGACGCUCAUGCACGACAGCGUGGGGAUCAAACAGG